AACGCGAAGAACCUUACCUGGGUUUGACAUGCGCAGGACGCCAGUAGAGAUAUUGGUUCCCUUGUGGCCUGUGUGCAGGUGGUGCAUGGCUGUCGUCAGCUCGUGUCGUGAGAUGUUGGGUUAAGUCCCGCAACGAGCGCAACCCUUGUCUCAUGUUGCCAGCGCGUUAUGGCGGGGACUCGUGAGAGACUGCCGGGGUCAACUCGGAGGAAGGUGGGGAUGACGUCAAGUCAUCAUGCCCCUUAUGUCCAGGGCUUCACACAUGCUACAAUGGCCGGUACAAAGGGCUGCGAUGCCGUGAGGUUAAGCGAAUCCUUUAAAGCCGGUCUCAGUUCGGAUCGGGGUCUGCAACUCGACCCCGUGAAGUCGGAGUCGCUAGUAAUCGCAGAUCAGCAACGCUGCGGUGAAUACGUUCCCGGGCCUUGUACACACCGAGACGAC
rnacentral:rRNA from 1 species